rnacentral:rRNA from 1 species
UAAUACGUAGGGUGCGAGCGUUAAUCGGAAUUACUGGGCGUAAAGUGUGCGCAGGCGGCCGCGCAAGUCGAGUGUGAAAUCCCCGAGCUUAACUUGGGAAUUGCGCUCGAAACUACGUGGCUGGAGUGUGGCAGAGGAAGGUGGAAUUCCACGUGUAGCGGUGAAAUGCGUAGAUAUGUGGAGGAACACCGAUGGCGAAGGCAGCCUUCUGGGCCAACACUGACGCUCAUGCACGAAAGCGUGGGGAGCAAACAGGAUUAGAUACCCUGGUAGUCCACGCCCUAAACGAUGAUGACUAGUUGUUGGAGGAGUUAAAUCCUUUAGUAACGCAGCUAACGCGUGAAGUCAUCCGCCUGGGGAGUACGGUCGCAAGAUUA